rnacentral:rRNA from 1 species
CCUACGGGUGGCUGCAGUCGAGAAUCUUUCACAAUGGGGGCAACCCUGAUGGAGCGACGCCGCGUGGAGGAUAAGGUCUUCGGAUUGUAAACUCCUGUCAUGCGAGAACAAGGUUGCGGGGCUAACACCGCCGCAAAUUGAUGGUACCGCAAGAGGAAGAGACGGCUAACUCUGUGCCAGCAGCCGCGGUAAUACAGAGGUCUCAAGCGUUGUUCGGAAUCACUGGGCGUAAAGGGUGCGUAGGUGGCGUGGCAAGUCAGAUGUGAAAGCCCGGG